CAUGGGUGUAGGUCUGAUCAGGGUGGAUCCCCUAGUGAUCAGGGUGGAUCCCCAGGUGAUCAGGGUGGAUCCCCAGGUGAUCAGGGUGCAGGUCUGACUUCAAAAGAGGCUACUGAUGGCCGUUCUCUGACACUCCCCUGUUCACAGGGAAACCUACCGGUCAUGGAUGGACAGCCAAUAUACAACCCUCCUGUCCCGUACACCAUCGUGAUUCCAGGAGGGAUGUCUACGAAGAAGACCAUCGUCAUCAGAGGCAUGGUACCUCUAGGAGCAAACAGGUCUGUAGUACCCUAACCCCUAUACCCUAACCCCUAUACCCUAACCCCUAUACUCUAUCCCCUAACCCCAUUACCCUAUCCCCUAACCCCUAUCCCCUAACCCCUAUACCCUAACCCCUAUAUCCUAUCCCCUAACCUCUAUACCCUAACCCCAUUACCCUAUCCCCUAACCUCUAUACCCUAACCCCAUUACCCUAUCCCCUAACUUCUAUACCCUAACCCCAUUACCCUAUCCCCUAACCUCUAUCCCCUAACCCCUAUACCCUAACCCCAUUACCCUAUCCCCUAACCUCUAUACCCUAACCCCAU
rnacentral:lncRNA from 13 species